rnacentral:rRNA from 1 species
UCGAUUAGAACUCUCAGAAAAAAUAACGCUGUUAUCCCUAAGGUAAUUUUUUCUUUUAAGCUAAAUCAUAAUUAGGAUCAUUAAAAUUUUCAUAUAUUAAUGUUUUAAUUUAAAAAAGUUUAUUUAAUUUUUUAGUCACCCCAACCAAAUACUUCUUCAAGAAAAAAAAAUAAUUCUUCAUUUUAUUUAUUCAAUUAAAAAUAUUAAACUCUAUAGGGUCUUCUCGUCUUUUAUUUAAAUUUAAGCUUUUUUACUUAAAAAUAAAAUUCAAAAACUUAAAACUGAGACAGAAAUUUUUUCAUCAAACCUUUCAUUCCAGCUUCUAAUUAAGAAACUAAUGAUUAUGCUACCUUAGCACGGUCAAAAUACCGCGGCCAUUCAA